rnacentral:rRNA from 1 species
GAUUAACGCUGGCGGCGUGCAUAACACAUGCAAGUCGAACCAUGAAACUUAGUAGACUUCUUCGGAAAGACACUAAGCGGAUUAGUGGCGAACGGGUGAGUAACGCGUGAGUAACCUGCCUUACACAAGGGGAUAGCCUUUGGAAACGAAGAAUAAUACCCUAUAAAACCAUAAAAGCACAUGCUAGAAUGGUCAAAGUGAUAGCGGUGUAAGAUGGACUUGCGUCUGAUUAGCUAGUUGGUGAGAUAAAAGCUCACCAAGGCAACGAUCAGUAGCCGGCUUGAGAGAGUGUACGGCCACAUUGGGACUGAGACACGGCCCAGACUCCUACGGGAGGCAGCAGUGGGGAAUUUUGCACAAUGGGGGAAACCCUGAUGCAGCGACGCCGCGUGAUUUAGAAGGCCUUCGGGUUGUAAAAAUCUUUUGUAUAGGAAGAAAAUGACAGUACUAUACGAAUAAGGUCCGGCUAAUUACGUG